CCUUCUCCUGCUAAAUAGCCCAGCCGGCUACGGCUAGCUGUUGGCUUCUUAGAGGGACUAUCGACGUUUAGUCGAUGGAAGUUGGAGGCAAUAACAGGUCUGUGAUGCCCUUAGAUGUUCUGGGCCGCACGCGCGCUACACUGACCGAGCCAGCGAGUCUAUCACCUUAUCCGGAAGGAUUGGGUAAUCUUGUGAAACUCGGUCGUGAUGGGGAUAGAGCAUUGCAAUUAUUGCUCUUCAACGAGGAAUUCCUAGUAAGCGUAUGUCAUCAGCAUGCGUUGAUUACGUCCCUGCCCUUUGUACACACCGCCCGUCGCUACUACCGAUUGAAUGGCUUAGUGAGGCGUUCGGAGAGCCUAUGAGAACCCGGCGACGGGAUUUCACUGGCUCAAAGUUCUACGAACUUGGUCAUUUAGAGGAAGUAAAAGUCG
rnacentral:rRNA from 1 species